CUGUGAUCAUACGUGUACAUCAGGAUUCUGGCAAUGCACCACAGUAAUGCAUCGUGCAUUGUGUGUGAGUACAGCAAAGUUUAUUACAGAGCACCACGGUAAUAAUAUGCACUGUGCAUGAGUAUAUCAUAGUGUUCCUCAGUGACAUGUGACAGUGUUUUAUUCUAUAAAGACAGGUUGUGUGAGACUGGCCUGGCCGGAUAUGGCUGGGGAGCAGUGUUCACCUGCACUCUAUUCUGAAGUAAUAUGGAAGAAGUUCAAUGAGGAGGAGGCUCUAAGUCAGAGUGCAGGCAAAUGGCCUCUAGCAAGGUAAGAGCCUGCACAGACAGCCAUGUAAUGAGACAACAAGGGGAGAUGGGAGAUUAGUACGUGAG